GGGCCAGUGGCGCAACGGAUAACGCGCCUGACUACGGAUCAGUGGAUUCCAGGUUCGAAUCCUGGCUGUUUCG
rnacentral:tRNA from 1 species